AGAGUUUGAUCCUGGCUCAGAACGAACGCUGGCGGCGUGCUUAACACAUGCAAGUCGAACGAGAAAGCACCUUCGGGUGUGAGUAAAGUGGCGCACGGGUGAGUAACACGUGGGUAAUCUACCCCUAGGUUCGGGAUAACUUGAGGAAACUCGGGCUAAUACCGGAUGAGACCACAGAACGUAGGUGAUGUGGGAAAAGCGGGGGCCCUCUUCGGAGGCCUCGCGCCAAGGGAUGAGCCCGCGGCCCAUCAGCUUGUUGGUAGGGUAACGGCCUACCAAGGCUAAGACGGGUAGCUGGUCUGAGAGGAUGAUCAGCCACACUGGAACUGAGACACGGUCCAGACUCCUACGGGAGGCAGCAGUGGGGAAUUUUGCGCAAUGGGGGAAACCCUGACGCAGCAACGCCGUGUGAGUGAUGAAGGCCCUCGGGUCGUAAAGCUCUGUCAGCGGGGACGAUGGUGUCGUUGGUUAAUAACCAGCGGGAUUGACGGUACUCGCAAAGGAAGCACCGGCUAACUCUGUGCCAGCAGCCGCGGUAAGACAGAGGGUGCGAGCGUUGUUCGGAUUCAUUGGGCGUAAAGCGCACGUAGGCGGUCAGAUAAGUCGGAUGUGAAAGCCCGGGGCUCAACCUCGGAAGUGCAUCCGAAAC
rnacentral:rRNA from 1 species